GAUGAACGCUAGCGGCAGGCCUAACACAUGCAAGUCGAGGGGUAACUAGAGUGAUAGCAAUAUUACUUUGGCUAGACCGGCGCACGGGUGCGUAACACGUAUGCAACCUACCUUAUACUGGGGAAUAACUUCGAGAAAUCGGCGCUAAUACCCCAUAACACUGCGGAGAGGCAUCUCUUUGCAGUUAAAGCUCCGGCGGUAUAAGAUGGGCAUGCGUCCAAUUAGCUAGUUGGUGAGGUAACGGCUCACCAAGGCUACGAUUGGUAGGGGUUCUGAGGGGAUGAUCCCCCACCCUGGUACUGAGACACGGACCAGACUCCUACGGGAGGCAGCAGUGAGGAAUAUUGCGCAAUGGACGAAAGUCUGACGCAGCCAUGCCGCGUGCAGGAUGACGGCCCUAUGGGUUGUAAACUGCUUUUGUACGGGAAUAAACCCUUCUACGUGUAGGAGGCUGAAGGUACCGUAAGAAUAAGCACCGGCUAACUCCGUGCCAGCCGCCGCAGUAA
rnacentral:rRNA from 1 species